GAUGAACGCUGGCGGCGUGCCUAAUACAUGCAAGUCGAGCGAACAGACGAGGAUCUUGCUCCUCUGACGUUAGCGGCGGACGGGUGAGUAACACGUGUAUAACCUACCUAUAAGACUGGGAUAACUUCGGGAAACCGGAGCUAAUACCGGAUAAUAUAUUGAACCGCAUGGUUCAAUAGUGAAAGACGGUUUUGCUGUCACUUAUAGAUGGAUCCGCGCCGCAUUAGCUAGUUGGUAAGGUAACGGCUUACCAAGGCAACGAUGCGUAGCCGACCUGAGAGGGUGAUCGGCCACACUGGAACUGAGACACGGUCCAGACUCCUACGGGAGGGAGCAGUAGGGAAUCUUCCGCAAUGGGCGAAAGCCUGACGGAGCAACGCCGCGUGAGUGAUGAAGGUCUUCGGAUCGUAAAACUGUGUUAUUAGGGAAGAACAAAUGUGUAAGUAACUAUGCACGUCUUGACGGUACCUAAUCAGAAAGCCCCGGCUAACUACGUG
rnacentral:rRNA from 1 species